rnacentral:rRNA from 1 species
AGGACGAACGCUGGCGCGCGCUUAACGACGAUGCAAGUCGAGCGAGAACCGGACCUUCGGGUCCGGGGACAGCGGCGAACGGGUGAGUAACACGUGAGUAAUCCACCCUUGGUACCGGGAUAGCCCGAGGAAACUCGGAUUAAUACCGGAUAGCCCGACAGCCUUUCGGGGCGGUCGGAAAAGGUAGCUUCGGCCUCCGACCAAGGACGAGCUCGCGGCGGAUUAGCUUGUUGGCGGGGUAACGGCCCACCAAGGCGACGAUCCGUAGCUGGUCUGAGAGGACGAUCAGCCACACUGGGACUGAGACACGGCCCAGACUCCUACGGGAGGCAGCAGUGGGGAAUCUUGCGCAAUGGGCGAAAGCCUGACGCAGCGACGCCGCGUGAGGGAAGAAGGCCUUCGGGGUUGUAAACCUCUUUCAGGAGGGACGAAGCCACUCGGGUUAAUAGCCCAGAGGGUGACGGUACCUCCAGAAGAAGCCCCGGCUAACUACGCGCCAGCAGCCGCGGUAA